rnacentral:rRNA from 1 species
UACAGAGGUCUCAAGCGUUGUUCGGAUUCAUUGGGCGUAAAGGGUGCGUAGGUAGCGGGGUAAGUCAGGUGUGAAAUCUCGAGGCUCAACCUCGAAACUGCACUUGAUACUGCCUUGCUCGAGUACUGGAGAGGAGAUUGGAAUUUACGGUGUAGCAGUGAAAUGCGUAGAUAUCGUAAGGAAGACCAGUGGCGAAGGCGAAUCUCUGGACAGUUACUGACACUGAGGCACGAAGGCCAGGGGAGCAAACGGG